UGCUACCUUUUCCCUUGUUAAAGCAGUAGAUGGUCCCUAAUAGAAGUUGAUUCAUUUGGGAAGGCAUCCUUGACUUGAAAACGGAUCUGUGUCAAGAUAACAAGACUAAAGGCACUUCAUCAUCCGUGAUCAAGGUGCCCCAUCUGCACAGAAGCACAUGCCCCCCCUUUCCCGGAGUGACCCCCGAGACCAGCUCGAUGCGGGGCGAGGAGUGAUGGAUGGUCCCACGCCGUCUUGCUUCAGGGCUGACGUGCCAGUUCUGUGGGCUGUGAUUCGGCUUCCAUGCCCGGGUCGUUGGAGGAUGCCACGGCGUGAGGUCACGGACCCCACAGGUGCCUGCCCUGGGAGCUGGGGGCUCCGUGAGGGGCUGCCGACUGGGAUUCCUGAGAACCUGAAUGGAGAGGGGGUGCUUCUUAGGUCCAGACGUCCCAGGGAGGCGGGGGACCCGGCCCGUCCCUGCACUCGUAAAGCUGUUCCAGCAGCUGGCCUCGGAGCCGGUGAAAUGUCACCGGAGACGGACGCCCAGACACCGGCUGAGAAUUCGUUCCGAGGCCUUGGCUCGAACCAGGAGCCCCG
rnacentral:lncRNA from 1 species